CAGCCGCCACGGUAAUACGGAGGAUGCGAGCGUUAUCCGGAAUCAUUGGGUUUAAAGGGUCCGUAGGCGGGCUGAUAAGUCAGAGGUGAAAGCGCUUAGCUCAACUAAGCAACUGCCUUUAAAACUGUCAGUCUUGAAUGAUUGUGAAGUAGUUGGAAUGUGUAGUGUAGCGGUGAAAUGCUUAGAUAUUACACAGAGCACCGAUAGCGAAGGCAUAUUACUAACAAUUUAUUGACGCUGAUGGACGAAAGCGUGGGGAGCGAACAGGAUUAGAUACCCCCGUAGUCCCUGUCUCUUAUAC
rnacentral:rRNA from 1 species